GGUGAAGAACGUAGCAAAAUGCGAUAAGUAAUGUGAAUUGCAGAAUUCAGUGAAUCAUCGAAUCUUUGAACGCACAUUGCGCCCGCCAGUAUUCUGGCGGGCAUGCCUGUUCGAGCGUCAUUUCAACCCUCAAGCUCAGCUUGGUGUUGGGACUCGCGGUAACCCGCGUUCCCCAAAUCGAUUGGCGGUCACGUCGAGCUUCCAUAGCGUAGUAAUCAUACACCUCGUUACUGGUAAUCGUCGCGGCCACGCCGUAAAACCCCAACUUCUGAAUGUUGACCUCGGAUCAGGUAGGAAUACCCGCUGAACUUAAGCAUAUCAAUAAGCGGAGGA
rnacentral:misc_RNA from 1 species